rnacentral:lncRNA from 1 species
CUCAUGCCCCUUCUCUUUCUUGGCAUCCACUCUUGGAGCCAAAAAAAAGGGGGUGGGCGGCACAUAGGGGUGGUGCCAAUUAGUUGGCGCACACCACUUAUUUAGUUCUUGUUCCCUUUACUCUCAGGUUUAUUGAGAGUUAGUUACAACCAUUUCUUGGUUGUUGUUUUUCUUGAUUAGUUGAAGGAUCAAGAAAGGAUUCUUGAUUUCUUCAAGAAUCAAGAAAGAAAGAUCAAAAGGAUUCAAAAUUAAAAGCCUCUCC